rnacentral:lncRNA from 1 species
GCGUCUCUCAAUCUAUCUCUCUAUCCAUUCCUUGUUGGUGUGUCAUAUCCAGCAAGCUGUCAAUUUAUUUGGUGUGUAAUAUCUAGAGAAUCGAUCCACUGGUGAAUCAAAGGAAUUUCCGCAACCUUUGUUGUGCUAUUCAAUCCACAUCCUUUGAUCUUUGAGAUUUCACAGUCUCUAGGAUGCAAAGCUUAUCCCCUCACCACCUUAGAGUGCAUCAUCCUUGGGAGGUUUACAUUAUUUGGUAUCAAAGCAACACUCUAAGUCUGGUUUUAUCAUUCCAUAUGUCUAUCAUUUUCUCACCUAUUCAUCUUCUUUCAAUCAUCUUCUCAUCUUUCAUUCUCUAUUUCUUUUUUUUUUCUUUCUUUCUAUUUUUAUAAUUAUUUCGUCAGAGAGAAAGUGCUACUAGAUACUCUUCUUUUAUACGAACCAGAUUUGUGAGCAAAUCUUUUUUUUAAGAGGAAGGGAAUGAUAUGAUCAUGGGAAACAGUAAAGAUGUACGUUCAUUGUUUGAGUCAUAUCUUCGAAACAACGAGGCUUCUACGCAUGAAAUCACUUGGAAAAUGUGCUCAACUCAAUUACGGAGCUCCUCGAAGAAAAAUCAGAUCAAACGGACUUCAGAUGAAGGAGUUACGCAAUUUACAAAACAGGUGAUCUUCAGUUUAUGCGAAUUUGGACCUAUGUGCAUUCAAUGAACAAUUCCGACCAGCCCAGAUGGAAUUAAGCCACAAGCCCAAUUUUUCUACAAUCUUGGUACAUCAGAGAAGUCCAUAAAAGUGGAUUCAGCCCAAAAAUAUCAAAAGAAGACUGAUUUUCGUCCAGAUUUAAAAUAGUAUUUAUUUAAGUGUGUUUCUCUCUUUUGCAUGCAGAAUAGAGUUUGAAUUUCAACUCUCAAGUGGUGCUGCAUGUUAGGAUACUUUUAUGGACGAAAAUUACUUGUAUUUCUCUAUAAAAAGAGCCCAAAAAUCAUGAAUAAGAAUAAGUUUGUUUUUCAGUGAAAAUUAGAGAAGUUUCUCUCUUUCAAGAUGUGAUGUCUUGUAAUGUUUGGAACUCCAUGUUCAUGGUGUGUCAUAUCUAUGUUCAUGGCUGGUCUAGACUUAUCAUAGAUCCUUUCACAGAUCUUUGUGGCGUCUCUCAAUCUAUCUCUCUAUCCAUUCCUUGUUGGUGUGUCAUAUCCAGCAAGCUGUCAAUUUAUUUGGUGUGUAAUAUCUAGAGAAUCGAUCCACUGGUGAAUCAAAGGAAUUUCCGCAACCUUUGUUGUGCUAUUCAAUCCACAUCCUUUGAUCUUUGAGAUUUCACAGUCUCUAGGAUGCAAAGCUUAUCCCCUCACCACCUUAGAGUGCAUCAUCCUUGGGAGGUUUACAUUAUUUGGUAUCAAAGCAACACUCUAAGUCUGGUUUUAUCAUUCCAUAUGUCUAUCAGUUUCUCACCUAUUCAUCUUCUUUCAAUCAUCUUCUCAUCUUUCAUUCUCUAUUUCUUUUUUUUUUCUUUCUUUCUAUUUU